rnacentral:rRNA from 1 species
CUUUACUAUAGCCUGGAAUUGUGUUCGGGCUUCGCUUACGCAGGAUAGGUGGGAGGCUGUGAAGUUCUGCUUGUGGGCAGAAUCGAGCCAACGGUGAGAUACCACUUUAGCGAGGCUAGAAUUCUAACCGAUAGCCGUUAUCCGGCAUCGGGACAGUUUCAGGUGGGCAGUUUGACUGGGGCGGUCGCCUCCUAAAGUGUAACGGAGGCGCGCAAAGGUUCCCUCAGGCUGGUUGGAAAUCAGCCAGAGAGUGCAAAGGCAUAAGGGAGCUUGACUGCAAGACCUACAAGUCGAGCAGGGUGGAAACACGGUCUUAGUGAUCCGACGGUGCCGCAUGGAAGGGCCGUCGCUCAACGGAUAAAAGUUA